rnacentral:rRNA from 1 species
AUUGAACGCUGGCGGCAGGCCUAACACAUGCAAGUCGAGCGAGCGGCGGACAGGGGUGUAAUGUAUGGGGACUGCCCGAUAGCGGGGGCUAACUACUCGAAACGGUAGCUAAUACCGCAUACUAUCGGAUAACCCAUAUGGGGUUAGCUAUUAGGUGAGGUAAUGGCUCACCUAGGCGACGAUCCCUAGCUGGUCUGAGAGGAUGAUCAGCCACACUGGGACUGAGAAACGGCCCAGAAUCCAACGGAGGCAGCAGUGGGGAAUAUUGCACAAUGAGAGCAAGCCUGAUGCAGCCAUUCCGCGUGUAUGAAGAAGGCCCUAGGGUUGUAAAGUUCUUUCAGUCGGGAGGCGUUACCGUCAGAAGAAGCACCGGCUAACUCCGUGCCAGCAGCCGCGGUAAUAC